rnacentral:lncRNA from 10 species
GGGGUCUAGGCUGUUUCUCUCGCGCCACCACUGGCCGCCGGCCGCAGCUCCAGGUGUCCUAGCCGCCCAGCCUCGACGCCGUCCCGGGACCCCUGUGCUCUGCGCGAAGCCCUGGCCCCGGGGGCCGGGGCAUGGGCCAGGGGCGCGGGGUGAAGCGGCUUCCCGCGGGGCCGUGACUGGGCGGGCUUCAGCCAUGAAGACCCUCAUAGCCGCCUACUCCGGGGUCCUGCGCGGCGAGCGUCAGGCCGAGGCUGACCGGAGCCAGCGCUCUCACGGAGGACCUGCGCUGUCGCGCGAGGGGUCUGGGAGAUGGGCUGCAGUCCCUGCGUUUGAGGAAGUGAGACCAGGGGGAUGUACACAAGAUGACUGUGCAGAGUGAUCUGAGCAAUGACAGGAAAGACUGCCAAGAGGUGAGACCGGGGAGCUUGAUCACCCUGAGGUCAGGGAAGUCUUCCUGGAAGAGGUGACAUUCAGUCCGGAUCUGGAAAGAUGAAUAGACAUCAGCAAGACAGGCAAGAACAUUCAGGUACAGGAAAUAGCAUAAAUAGAGGCAUGAGAUUUGGAUGGGAGAGGCAGACUGACUGCAGGGCCUCUGAGUGACCAACUGAGGCUGAGGUCUUGGUGUACUGAGAGCC